rnacentral:rRNA from 1 species
UACGUAGGGUGCAAGCGUUGUCCGGAAUUAUUGGGCGUAAAGAGCUCGUAGGCGGUUUGUUGCGUCGGCUGUGAAAUCCCGAGGCUCAACCUCGGGUCUGCAGUCGAUACGAGCAAACUAGAGUGUUGCAGGGGAGACUGGAAUUCCUGGUGUAGCGGUGAAAUGCGCAGAUAUCAGGAGGAACACCGGUGGCGAAGGCGACUCUCUGGUCUGUAACUGACGCUGAGGCGCGAAAGCGUGGGGAGCAAUCAGG